rnacentral:miRNA from 1 species
AUAGUUUUGGAGAUCCAAGAAUAACCAGCUUUUGAAAGUUUUAUGCUCCUAAUAAUAGGCAUCUCAUAAAACGCUCAAAAGCUGGUUAUCCUUGGAUCUCCACAACUAUCU